UAAAAUGUAGACUCACUGAGUGUGAGAGAAUGCAUCAUUGACUUUUUCCUCUAUUCCCUCUUUUCACAUGUAAAAUGUAGAUUUACUGAGGCUAAUAAGAGCCUCACAAGAAUGUGACCACCUGCCUCACUGCCUGCCUCCUUUUCUUCCCCCUGCUGCUUGCAGUUCCCCUUUUGUGAACUGAAGUUCACAAAACCCCCUUUGGAAAAAACAUAAAUCACAGGAGCAUCUGUAAUUUAUGCUUUUUCCCAGGCGCAUCCUCAGCUUUGGCCAAAUAAACCUCUAAUGGAUGGAGACUUGCUUCAGUCACUUUUUGGUUUACAUUUUGGUAACCACAAAGGGGCUUUCUGAGUGGAGUUGGCUCUUGGCCUGUAGCAACUCUCCUACUGGGGCCCUAGUACCAGCUGGAGCUCUUUAUUGCUCUGACCUAUUGGAUGAUUUGCUGAAGUCUGAGAGUUUCUCCCUCCAGAGAUCCCUAAUCACUCAAAAAUUUCCAGUUGAGAUCUGAAGUUUAUUCCACUGCAGAACUCCUUUUCUGAGAGUUCUUACUUCUAACAAGGAAGAAGACUUUCCUGCUUCCGUGAUGGCAGAGAGCAGUUUUCAGCUUGUGCCCCAUCUCCAGGGUGAAAGAUAUCUCCUUCAAAGCUUUUCAGGGGCCCAACUGGAAAAUCUUAAUGUUAAUUUAAGGUCAAAAGACAUAAUUUAGAAUUUGUUUUGGACAGGCACAUAGACCAAUGGAACAGACUAGAGAACUCAGAAAUAAAAUCACACCUCUACAACCAUCUGAUCUUCAACAAAGUUGACAAAAACAAGCAAUGGGGAAGUGAUUCUCUAUUUAACAAGUGGUGCUGUGAGAACUGGCUAGCCAUAUGCAAAAAUUGAAACUGGACCCCUUCCUUACACCGUAUACAAAAAUUAACUCAAGAUGGAUUAAAGACUUAAAUGUAAAACCCGAAAUUAUAAAAACCCUAGAAGAAAAUCUAGGCAAUACCAUUCAGGACACAGACGUGGGCAAAGAUUUUACGAUGAAAUUGCCAAAAACAAAAGCAAUGGCAACAAAAGCAAAAAUUGACAAAUGGGAUUUAAUUAAACUAAAGAGCUUCUGCACAGCGAAAGAAACUAUCAUCAGAGCAAACAGGCAGAAGAAGGUGGAAGGAGCUGACUUGCUGAGUCUUCCCACCUUCAUCUUUCUCUUGUGCUGAUGCUUCCUGCCCUCGAACAUUGAACUCCAAGUUCUUCAGCUUUUGGACUCUUGGAAACUUACACCAGUAAUUUGCCAGGGGCUGUUAGGCCUUCAGCCACAGACUGAAAGCCGCAUUGUUAGCUUCCCAACUUUUGAGGUUUGGGAACUCAGACUGAACCACCACUGGCUUCUUUGCUCCUCGGCUUGCAGGCAGCCUAUCAUGGGACUUCACCUUGUGAUCGUGUGAGUCAACUCUCCUUAAUAAACUAGAAUAUUUCUCAGAAGCCUGAACAACAUAACUUCUAAGACAAAGAUUUUUUGUGUGGACCAACUCACACUCUCCUUAAUAAACUCUCCUUAAUAAACUCCUUUCAUAUAUACAUAUAUCCUAUUAGUUCUGUCCCUUUGGAGACCCCUGACUAAUACACCACCUUCACUCAACUGGACUCUACAGGCAGAUACCCAAGAGACUGAUAUGGUAAGAAGUCUUAACUUUGUCAGAUGCCAGGGUUUCUUAGCUGCAGCCUCACAGUUAGCGGUAUUUGAUACCAACUUCACUGCCAGAACUUUAGGGAAGGAAAAACUUUCCCUCUACUCUCUGAGAGUUUGAUAAUUGAGUCUAAGAAAUAAACUGAUAGUAGACAAGUAAACAGGAGAAAGGUAUACAAAUUUAUUGCAGAAAAGUUAAUAUCCCAAAACCCAGUGAGAUCUAGAAGCAUAUACACCCUCUUCAUAGAGGGGAGGGCAGGAGUGUGGGCAACUUAGAGGAGAGUAAGUGAUUUUGGGGAAAGAUGAAUGACCCCCAGAAGAAGAGAUAAUAGCUUGUGACAAAGUCUGUCUGGCAUGGUGUGGACCUCCAGUCUCCUCUCCUGAGAUCCAAGUCAAUCUUCCCGGGUUAAUAAGACUCCUGGAGAGGAGAUUCAUAAAAAUUGAGUUCCUUUUGAGUUCAUCUUUAGGCAGAUAAGGGGAGCCCAGAGAGCCUAUGCCUAUAUUUGCUGUUUUCCAAGUGCCCUCUGUUAAAGUAAUCAGCAUAUCAAAGUGGCAUAUUUUGGGAUGUCAUUUCCUUAACUGUCUUACUUACAUGACAUGGGAACUUGAUAGACACCUAAAAAUUAAUGUGUCUGAAACUGGCUGAUGAUCUGAAAACUUGAUAUCCCUGCAGUCUUCUACACUUCAGUCUAUGGCAAGUCUAUUUUCUUAGGCCCAAAACCUUACCUCAUCCUUGACUCCCCUCUCUCUCUUAUACCCAUAUUCAAUCUACUGCAAAUCCAUAACUUUACUUUCAAAGAACACCCAGACUCUGCCUGCUUCUCACCAGCUCUAUGGCUAUCAUCCUGCUCCAAGCCACCAUUAUCUGGCCUCAGUUAUUAUAAUAACCUUCCAGCCAGUCUUCCCUCUUCCCCUCUUGGCCCCAUCCCCACGGUCUUUUACAAUACAGCAGCCAGAGUGAUCCUUGUAAAAUGUAAGUCAAAUCAUGUCCCUUGCGUACUCAAUGGUUCCCCAUUUUUCUCUGAAUAAAAGCCAGAGUCCUUAAAUGGCACACCAGACCCUGGAGGUUCUGGCCCUGCUUAUUUCCAUGCUCUCCCCUUGCUUGCUCCACUCCAGCCACACUGGCCUCUGCGGAGUUUUCUGAACUCACUAGGCAUGCCACUCAGAGCUAUGAAUUUGCUAUUCCCUCUCCCUGGACUACUCCCUCAUCACUAUAGCCAUAAGAUAGUGGAUAGAGAUAGUCCUCCCCGGACUGCUCCCUCCUCAGGUACAGCCAUAUGAUUUGCUCCCUUGUUAACAUCAUUUUCUCAAAGAAACAUUGACUUUAAGCCUUUCGAUGGCUCGUUCCUAACAGUAAAACCCAAGCUUGGCCUGCAAGUCCUGGAGCAAUCUAACUGCUUCUCCUCUCUGCAGAGUCAUCUCCCCGCUCUCUUCUCCCUGUUUACUAGACCCAGCCAUUGCAGCGUUCUUAUAGCUUUCUGAAGGCACCAAGUUCUUUGCUGUCCCUGCUUAGAACUCUUUUCCAUCUACUUCUCACUCACUAGCUCCAACUCAUCUUCUAGGUUUCAGAGCCCACGUCACUUCUUUAGGAACGCCCCUCCUCACUUACCCCUGCCAUCUAUAUUUGAUCUCUCUCUGUAAAGACUCUAUACUGUUCCUUCAUAGAACUUAAUGUAUAACUUCAUAUUCUCAUUAUGUGAUUAUUUGUGUAAUGAAUGUUUCUCCUACUCCACUGUAAGUUCCAUGAGGUCAAAAAUCUUGUCUGUCUGGUUGGUCACCAGAUACCCCACACCAGGCACAGUGCCCAGCUCAUAGUAUGUAUUUAAAAAUGAAUAGAUCUGAUUUUAUUAUACCUCUAUCUUACUUUUGCUAAUUUUUCAAAAGGACUUUAUUAUCUGUUUACCAGAAAAUAAAGUCUAUUAUCCAAGCUUGUGAUAGAUUUCUACUUGGCUAAAUAAAACAUAAUAUUCUUUUAGGUUCUCUGGGACUAGAGAGUAGUCGAAGAGCAAAUGAUUUUCAUUGGUUUAUAAUGUAUUCCUA
rnacentral:lncRNA from 1 species